CAGAGGGGUGCAAGCAUUAAUCGGAAUUUACUGGGCGUAAAGCGCGCGUAGGUGGUUUGUUAAAAUUGAAUGUGAAAAUCCCCGGGCUCAACCUGGGAACUGCAUCCAAAAACUGGCAAGCUAGAGUAUGGUAGAGGGGUAGUGGAAUUUCCUGUGUAGCGGUGAAAUGCGUAGAUAUAGGAAGGAACACCAGUGGCGAAGGCGACUACCUGGACUGAUACUGACACUGAGGUGCGAAAGCGUGGGGAGCAAACAGGAUU
rnacentral:rRNA from 1 species